rnacentral:rRNA from 1 species
GGGGGAUAAGCGGAAGAAAUUCCGUCUAAUACCGCGUAAUAACUCCGAGGGGCAUCCCUUGGGGUUUAAAGGGUAACACCGGCUACGGAUGGCCAUGCGGUGCAUUAGCUAGUUGGCGGGGCAACGGCCCACCAAGGCGACGAUGCGUAGGGGUUCUGAGAGGAAGGUCCCCCACACUGGUACUGAGACACGGACCAGACUCCUACGGGAGGCAGCAGUGAGGAAUAUUGGUCAAUGGGCGCGAGCCUGAACCAGCCAAGUCGCGUGAGGGAAGACGGUCCUAUGGAUUGUAAACCUCUUUUGUCGGGGAGCAAAAGACGCCACGCGUGGCGUUCCGAGAGUACCCGAAGAAAAAGCAUCGGCUAACUCCGUGCCAGCAGCCGCGGUAAUACGGAGGAUGCGAGCGUUAUCCGGAUUUAUUGGGUUUAAAGGGUGCGCAGGCGGAAGAUCAAGUCAGCGGUAAAAUUGAGAGGCUCAACCUCUUCGAGCCGUUGAAACUGGUUUUCUUGAGUGAGCGAGAAGUAUGCGGAAUGCGUGGUGUAGCGGUGAAAUGCAUAGAUAUCACGCAGAACUCCGAUUGCGAAGGCAGCAUACCGGCGCUCAACUGACGCUCAUGCACUAAAGUGUGGGUAUCGAACAGGAUUAGAUACCCUGGUAGUCCACACAGUAAAC